GAGUUUGAUCCUGGCUCAGGACGAACGCUGGCGGCGUGCUUAACACAUGCAAGUCGAGCGGAAAGGCCCUUCGGGGUACUCGAGCGGCGAACGGGUGAGUAACACGUGAGUAACCUGCCCUAGGCUUUGGGAUAACCCUCGGAAACGGGGGCUAAUACCGGAUAUGACUGCUGGUCGCAUGACUGGUGGUGGAAAGUUUUUCGGCCUGGGAUGGACUCGCGGCCUAUCAGCUUGUUGGUGGGGUAAUGGCCUACCAAGGCGACGACGGGUAGCCGGCCUGAGAGGGCGACCGGCCACACUGGGACUGAGACACGGCCCAGACUCCUACGGGAGGCAGCAGUGGGGAAUAUUGCACAAUGGGCGGAAGCCUGAUGCAGCGACGCCGCGUGAGGGAUGACGGCCUUCGGUUGUAAACCGUCUUUCUAGCAGGACGAAGCGAGAGUGACGGUACCUGCAGAAGAAGCACCGGCCAACUACGUGCCAGCAGCCGCCGCCGU
rnacentral:rRNA from 1 species